GCUGGCUGCCUUAGAAACACGCUAAGCGCGCUGAUCUUCGAUACUCGAAGUCAUUGGGAACUUCGUUGGCAAGACGUUAUUGUGCUGUGAAUGUCUUCAAGCUUUUAACAGUUUGAAUAACGUGAAUAAUACACUGCAACAAAGAAAAACGCUUGUUUCGAAAUAUUCAAAGCUUUUACUAAAGCGAAGGAAAACUAACAAUUUCUCAAUAUGUGAAGCUAUUUGAUGUGGGUCGUGUAAAUUAUGUGACACUCGGAACAAGGAUAGUUUUUGCAUAGUUUUGACAAAGGAAGCUUCAAGCAGGGAAAUAACGUGUAUUUAUCCAUUUGUAAAACAGCGCUUGAAAGAACAACAACGAUAAUAAUGGAGUAUAACCGCUCGAAUGUGAAUCAAAGCGCGAUCGUAAUAAUGGAGUCUAACCGCUCGAAUGUGAAUCAAAGCACGAUCGUUCAGCCUGAUUAUUCUGGAACGUACGUUGCCAUCUCUGUGGUUUGUCUGCUGAUGGCGGCAGUUAUAAUCUCCCUCAACGGUCUGGUCAUCUUCAUCAUAGCUCGACAGAAAGACAACAACAGGCUUCACUUCUUCAUAUUACAUAUUGCAAUUGCUGACCUUUGUGUUGGCAUAGUAUGCGUAUUUUGCGAGGGGAUAUUCUACGGUAUCCUGCGAAAUGAGUGGUACUUGGGUGACGUCAUGUGUCGCAUUUGGCAGUAUUCUACGUUUGUGGUCCUAAUUGUGUCUAACAACCUUCUCAUCGGAAUGAGCGUGGACCGAUACGUGGCUGUACGGUAUCCAUUGAGGGCAAUAACCGGAGGGUACCGGCCAUACAAAGCCAUAAUUAUCGGCUCAUGGAUAAUUGCCCUUCUGAUUCCUGUAUGGACUUUCCCGUACAUUGGCAUAGCCAUUGAUGGUGAUUCAUACCACUGUUCCGUUGAUUUCAAAACCUACAUUGGGUGGCAGCUAUAUGUCUGGAUCACACUGCUGCUUGUGUUUUUCAUCCCAUUCCUAGCUGUCUCCCUUUGUUAUGUCGGCAUCUCGGUUGUCGUAUGGAAUCAUUGGCGGAAAAGAGGAAAUCUCACGGAAAUUACUGAAAUGAACACUACGCUAAAAGAAUCAACUUUCCCGUCACGUCAAAAAUCCAUGAACGAGGGUUUACUACCAAAAGCCAGAAUAAUAACAAUAAAGAUGACUUUGAUAAUAUGCCUUACGUUCUUCAUUUGCUGGCUGCCGGCAACAGUGUUCAGCACUAUGGACUUAUACGGCAUAAAUGAGCUUGACCGUCGCUACUAUAUGGUCCUGCAGCGCUUAUAUCCACUCAACAGUGCGUGCAAUCCAAUAAUAGUCUUGUUGUUCAGCAAGCAAUUGUUGCCAUGCGGGUCGCCAAAGUCUUCGAAAGCGACAAUAUGUUAUGAAAGUAUCGAAACAACGAAAACCACAUUAUGAAUAAUGAUAUCGUUAAUAACUGGUUCGGCACUUUGCGUAAAAGCACAGACUUGAACAACAAGACGGCGUUACUGAGAUAAGUGACAUUAAAAUACCUGCAACGAAAAAAACGUAAUUACUCAAAAGUAUAUUUUGAUAAUUAACCAGUAAAAAGGAGCACAAAGGAGCAGCAAAACUAUGUUCAGUCGACGCUAAAUUGUUUUAUCGAACGUCUCUACUAAACAAACUUAAACAGGUCAAAACUUUCAACAAGAAGACAGAAAUACAGACGUGUUCCCUUUCACAAAAUGCGUUAUAAAAUUAAUCUCAAAAGCAGACAAGUCUCAUUCACUAAAACCACAAAACCUCAACGACCUGCGAAAUGACGAAUUGUUACCUGUAAUUCAGACAUUAGUGAAUCAUCAUUUAUCUCAAAAGCUGUACAAGUGCCAGAAUUGCAUCAGCAUCUUAAUUGUCAUUUUUUUAAGUAUCAAUCAUCAGAAAUUUCACACAAUCUACUAAAUUAUUAUUGUUUAAUAAUGGAACAAGAUUUGGUCAUAUUUUCAAGCAAGUAGCCUUUAGUACAGAUCCCUCAUUUUUAGGCAGUUGUUUGACUCAUGUUGAGAAGUUCAAACAUUUUGUUCAACAUUGGCAUCACUAAGAAUUUCUUAGGAAUCACCUGCAAGGAAAUAUACCGUGUUUUCAACUUACUACUUUCUUUUUAUAUGUGAAUACCUGAACUAUAAUUCUUAAUAUCCAGCCAUUUAUCGUCUUGUCAAUACGUUUCACAUAAUACAUUCACUGCCAAAAAAACUUACCAUAUUUGACGCUUUCGAGUGUCCUUCCGCUACUGUUCUUCGUCUUUCCUUUUAGUAUUACUAUCAUCCUGCUCUGUCUUUUAUAUAUGUUUAAGAACCUCAUGGACACUCUAAUGCGCUACUUCUUUAUCAUUCAAAACCCUUUAGAAAUUGAUUGACCUGGUUGCACGUGCUUAAUUCUUAAACGCACAACGAUUAUCGAUAGAGAAAAAUGCAUACAUAAGUUGAAGUAACUUGUUUUCUUAUCCAAUUUUUCAUCGACAUAAUUCACAUGUUAUGUUCAAAGUAUCUUAAUAAAUCUUUAAUAAACCCAAAUCAUAUCAUAUGAAAGCAAUCGACUCGAAUUUUACAUUUAAAUAAGAAUGUUAUAUCAAUAUACAGAAGUGAAACUCCAGCUGCUGGAGCAGUAUUGAAUUCUUAUUAUAAACAUUAUUUUCUUUUGUUUAAUAAGCUCUUAAAUAAGUGAAGAAAACGUUGAUAUCUGUUUAUGUAUUUUCAAUAUGUUCCGCAACUGAUUUAAUGGCAACGCAUACUAUAUUUGUUUUAGUUGAAAUAAUACGUCUGCAAACAUAUUGCUAGUUUGCAAAAUGAAUUUUGUUUAUUUUUAACAAAUUGACAUCUCAUAGUUAUUGUCUUUUAAUCUAAAUGUACUCGUAUCCCUUAAUUAAACUAUACGUUUCAAUGCGAUCGUUUGGAUUCAGACACAAACUAUUUUUAUGAACAAACAAUGUCAACGAAUAUCACGACUAAUACUUUCAGAGUUACAACAAGGGGCCGUAAUGGAUCAUAUGAGUCGACUUUAAGGUAAUUAAGCAUUAUAUAAACUAAGAUUGAAUGGCAAACUUGUAUUGAUAAAUGAUAUUCGUUUGUCUUAAAUUUAACUCUACAUGUAAUGCAAACAUUUUUCAGCAUUGAACUCUUUCAGACUGGUUAUGACUGGCUGUGAUCACUGUUUAUUUUGGAACCAUUUUGUACUUGUAUCUUCUCCUAGGUUUAAAAAUCUGUUUUUGCUACAGUUAAGCUUUGCAGUGUUUUGUGCGCACACAACAUGCAUAUUCAUAUCAAGAAACUUAUUAUCUAGGACUUAAAUUGAUUCAGGUCUUUCUUAUUCUGAAAACCGACACAGACGAAAAAAUAAAUUAAAUGCAUCAACUGCUAUAGAUAAGAUAUGAUCGCAUAAAGCAAUUAACUAGUUAAUGAUUGGCUUUAAUAACUACAUAUGUAAAUUUAGCAAACGACUUCAAACGUACUCGAAAAUAAAUUCCUUACAAUCUAAGUAUUUAUACAAAACUGUUGUACUUGUUAUUGAAUGAUAAAUGCCGAAUAGUAGUAUAUUAUUAUUACAUUUCUUAGCGAACUGUUAGAUUUUCUAAGUGUAUGCUAUGGUUCGUCUGGUAGUUUGAUUUGAUAAAUUAAUUUAGUUAUGUCAUUAUUAGCUUAGUUGGCAUUUUCAGCUCUAGAUAACGCAAACUUCCUCUGAAUAUUCGUAAAUGAUCAUAUUGUGUAUGUGUAUCUAUGUAUCCUAUGUUAAAGUAUAUAUAAGUAGCACAAGUAAAACAAAUUAAAUAUUUCGA